AACGCACAUUGCGCCCCUUGGUAUUCCGGGGGGCAUGCCUGUUCGAGCGUCAUUUCAACCCUCAAGCUCUGCUUGGUCUUGGGCCGCGCCGGCAACGGCGGGCCUCAAACGUAGUGGCGGCGCUAUCGUGUCCCUCAGCGUAGUAAUUUUUCUCGCUGUUGGGUGCCGGUAGUUGCUGGCCAGCAACCUCUAAUUUUCUAUGGUUGACCUCGGAUCAGGUAGGGAUACCCGCUGAACUUAA
rnacentral:misc_RNA from 1 species